ACAGAAGGGCUAGUUUUGGUUUUGAAUGCUUUUUAGAGAAUUUUAAGUAAAUAAAUGUUGCAUAUGUGUCCCUGGAGCACAAAAUCAAGUCUCUGGGGUGUAUUUGUAGCAAUAGACAACAAUACAUUGUAUGGGUCAAAAUUAUAGAUUUUUCUUUUAUACCAAAAAUCAUUAGCAUAUUAAGUAAAGAUCAUGUUCCAUGAAGAUAUUUAGUAAAUGUCCUACUGUAAAUAUAUCAAAACUUAAUUUUUGAUUAGUAAUAUGCAUUGUUAAGAACUUCAUUUGAACAACUUUAAAGAUGAUUUUCUCAAUAUUUAGAUUUUUUUGCUCCCUCAGAUUCCAGAUUUUCAAAUAGUUGUAUCUCAGACAAAUAUUGUCCUCCUAACAAACCAUACAUCAAUGGAGAGAUUAUUUAUUCAGCUUUCAGAUGAUGCAUAAAUCUCAGUUUUGAAAAAAUUGACCCUUAUGACUGAUUUUAUGCUGCGGGGUUAUACAUAAUCAAAAAAUGUAAGUUUGGCAAUUAGUAAAUACUGUAAGGUAUGUGUCGCAUUGCUUCAGUGCAACUGAUCAGUUUCAAAAAUCACGUUAUGGAACAAUUUCUAGACGAUUAAAUAAUUAAGAGCAGCGCAUAACUCAAAAAACAGAAAUCAUAUUCACUUUCCAUGACUUUAACACAAUUCUAUACAUUUUCAUGUACUUUCCAGAGCUAUCACAAUCUUAGGAUUCACUGAUAUUUGACCAUGCACUGUUAAGAAAUAAGAAAUAUAAAAUCAAAGUUCCAAAUAAAACAGAUUAUAUGAGUAUGUUUUGCAAGAAUAUACUUUUUCGGCCUUUUAAUUAUUUGUAAUUACUUUUGAAAUUGACUUCCAAUUUCUGACUGAAAAUUGUUUCUACACCAAUUUUUGAGUGAAGACACCAGUUCUGUUUGUCCAUGUGGGAACCCUGAUGUUGUUAAAAACACGUGGCGUUUGUCACAUUGCAUGUCAAUACAGAACAUCAUUAACAUUUCUCGGUGGGUUUGUUCACAGAGGUAUGAAAGAGUCCAGCCGUGUGAAGUUGAAGUGGACAAGUGGAAGACGUGCCGCUGCCGCCGGACCCCCGAGGGCCCCUUUGGAGUUUACAAACACAGACAUAGGGCCGUUCUCUAUCCUGCAUCAGACAGAAGGAAUGUCGAUCUUUCGUGGUCGUUCCUCUCCGUCCCACCGGGUUCAGGAACACAGCCGUCAGCUCUGAGGAAGUCAACGCACAAAAGAGGGAAAUCACCGAGCGCUCGGGAUGCUGGGAUGUCAUCAGAACACUGUGAUAACUGCAGGACUAAACCUACCUAA
ensembl:lncRNA